CAUUGUGUCUCUGAGCAAGACACUUAAGCCUGAGUGUCCCCAGGGGGGGGACUGUCCCCGUAACUACUGAUUGUAAGUCGGUCUGGAAAAGGGCGUCUGGUAAACGUUGUAAAUGUAAAUGUAAGUGUCCUGCUCAGGGACACGAAGGUAGUAAGUGGGGUUUGAACCCGGGUCUUCUGGUUCGUAGGCGAGUGUGUUACCUGCCAGGCUACUUCCACCCACCCGUACGUCUGACCCUGUGACCUCACAACUGUGGCUGUGACGUGGGACAUGGAGAGUCGGUGGACAAAGCCAGCCAGUGUGAAAAUGAAUGACAUACUGGCGCCACCUUGUGUCACCCACGUGAUACAGCAUCUCGGCCACAGAGUAGAAAGUCUCAGUCUGUGCUCGGUGUCCACGGCGGAUUGUCCUCCAGGGCAACGGUUGUGUAACGCAGGAAGUGUAAAACACUUACUGGCCAUUUUUUUUACAGAAUGCAGGGAACAGACAGAAACCGACGGACUCUGUACGGAACCUCAGAGGAACAGGAAUUCCGGCCUCACAUUCGGCACAUGGAGCCGAACCUGACAGAGUGUGGCCUUGACUGGACGUCCCGUUUGCGGUGGCUUCCUGAACCUCACUAUGCCGAUGCCCCGCUCCCGCAAAUUAAAGACAUAAAGUUCCUGGAGGGGACCAAGCUGCUGAGGUCCUUCCCACGUAGAGGCCAACAUGGAGUCUCAGGCCGAAUGGACCUUCCACCCGAACUGUGGCCAGCUGAGGGUCUUCCACCGACGGGCUCAGCUCCCCAGGACCGAGCAGACGCUGGAGCGAGCUUUAGGCAGGAAGAAGCCAGUCCCAAACAGCCACAAAUCAACAGCAGGCGGCAAACCAUAUGUGACGGCAGAAUACAGCCCCAACUUCCACAAGUUCUGGUCUUUACCACUCAUUCCGUUUGGUACCAGCGGCAAUUACAAAUCGGACACAUUUGGGCCUCCUCGCCACCCUAAAACCAGGCAGAGGUAAAGUCUGGAAUUCCUCGCAUUCCUUCGCAUUUGAUGAAUGAUGGAGAGGACGCAUUUUAUUUCUGCGCCACAGCUCGAAGAAGAACCUGGACCGGGAGGCCGAGCUGAAGGAAGUGGAGAGACUGAAUGACUGGAGGCCGUCUCCGGAUCUCGUACAGUCAGUAACAAGUCGCCAUGUGAAACAUGCAUGAAGCAGAACCUUCACAGGAUCUCGCUGGUCCUGGUGAACUGGAUGUGGCGUCGCAAUAAAUCUGAACGCACGGGAUCUUUACA
rnacentral:lncRNA from 1 species